AUUACCGGCACUUGGUCAGGAGCACCCGGGAAUUUGGAAUCUCCAUAUUUGUGGGACAUCAGGAAAGGGUAAAUCUAUCUCUGAUCAGCCAUGAGUAUGGGAGUUGGGCGAUGUAUGUACAUGUUCGGGCCACACUAGACCAAGCGGGUUGGGGUCUACCAGCGUUGAAACUUUUGUAACUCUAUUUUUGCCGCUUAGGUCGGCUAAGGAGAAAAACUUGUAAUAUUUUGUAAAAUGAUUUUUUUGGGAUCCCGAAACAUGUAACUUUUGUUUGUAAGGUUAAAAUUAUUACAAGUUUAUUUUCAUUC